GUUUACAAAGUGACCUUGCCAUGAAAUGCUCCCAAUCUACAACAAUAUUACUUUGUGAAUUUAGUUGGACAAAAUUGCGUGAAACAUUUUCCAGUUUUCACAUAGAAUGGAAGCUUACCAAGUGCAAUCAAUCAUGGACUUCUGGAAAUAUGGACUCCAAACGAGCUUCCUGCCAAAUUGGCUUGCUUUUGGUCAUGGUAACUCUGAGUCACUUUGCAAAUAAAAAUGAUAAAGGUUUAUUCUGAAGGCAGGAUUCAAACCCACGCCCUCUGGGAAACCAUGUUGUGUCUCUAUUGAGUGAAUUAGACUUGCCACCAAAUUUAGCCAGGAUGAGUUUGGUCCAAGCCCAUAUCUUAGGCCCAAAUUUCUUGAAAUAUGGACUUUGAACGAGCCCCCCUGCAAAAUGGCUUGCUCUCAUAGCAACUCUAGCCACUUUGAAAAUUAAAGCAUUUGGAUAGAAAACUCUUCUGGACCUACAUCAACCAAAUUUUCUUCUAUGGCCUUCACCUUUGGCUGCCCAACUCUGCCCAAUCCGCCUUCCAGUCCGCCAAGGCCACCUUCCACCUUUACAUAGUUCCUCAAAUGAUACCUGGGCGUGCCCCAAUAUGCCAAAAAUGCAUGGACACAUUUUCUAUGCAAAACCGAGCCCCUCACCCGAUGGCUGGCCAGUUUAGUGUCCACCAGUAUUGGGAACCUGACCUUUCUGGAUGUGAUGUCCGGACACAAGUUAUCUUUUCCGGUCAAGGACUUACUAACACCUUAUUGUCCUUGGCCCGACAUCCCUUCGGAGUAUUGGUGGUCACGCACCUUUGUCAAGCUCCCGGCCCAAUACCAUCAACGGCGGGAGCUGACAAUAGAUCUGUUCAAUCUGACCCACCCACUCUACCAUGUACUGCAAGAAUAAAGAUUUUCACCACCUGCC